rnacentral:rRNA from 1 species
AAAAUACUCUUAUAAUUUAAAAAUAGACGAGAAGACCCUUAGAAUUUUAAGAAUAUUAUGAGGAGGUCUUGUAAGAUUUUUUGUUGGGGCAACAAUAUUUCAGUAAAAUAAAUGUUUUAUAGAAAAAUAAGUCGAUUUAAUAGUUAUAUAAAAAUUACCUAAGGGAUAACAGCAUAAUUUUAUUAAAUAAGUUUGUGACCUCGAUGUUGGACUAGGUACUAUUAAGGCUAAUCGUUUUAAUAUAAUAUGUUCUGUUCGAACUGUGUUACCUACAUGAUCUGAGUUCAAACCGGAGCUC